AUGGUCCAGAUACUGUCCCUGAUCCACAGAAAAGAUGGUAGUCUGGUUAGCAUGCCCUACAUAUCAGCAGACAUCACAAACCUAAAGGCGAAGUACCGCAGAGAGAGCAAGUUGGCUGAUAUGUAAGACACGAUUGCCUACUUCAAAGAGAAAGCAAAAGAAGAUCCCAAUUUCUUCUACAGAAUAAGACUAGACGAUGAGGACCAUGUCAGAAACAUGUAUUGGGUGGAUGGUGAAGCAAGAAGAGCCUACAAGCAUUUUCGUGAUUGCAUUUCUUUCGACGCGACACAUCUCACGAAUAUGUAUAAGAUGCCAUGA
rnacentral:rRNA from 1 species